UUAGGUGUUCAGGCGUGCCACUGCCAUCUUUAGUAUAACAGAUAUAAAACAGAUGUUUAGUUUUAAUUGUAUAUGCCCGAGAAACCGAGUUAGCUAUGAAAUGUUUCUUUGUUGGGCCUUAGGUAUAGGUCUUGAGGCUUUCCAUCAAAACUAACCAAGUACUCGAACAUAUAAUGGUUGUUUCAUUGUUGCAGAAGUAUUACAACUGCUAUCCUUUAAUCGCCCGAGCCCGAAGAGUAGAACGAACCCAGAUAGGUGCCUUUGUAGGGUCUUAAGUAUAGGUCUU
rnacentral:lncRNA from 1 species